UGUUUGUUACUCGGCCAGUCAUGUUCAUUCGAAAACAGCAGCGAAAACGGUUUCUUGUCAUUGUAUGUUUUGCCCUGCUAACAAUGUGGAUUCUGCAUGUAAUGUAUACCCCUGACAGUGACCACCUUCUGCCUGUACCGGUACACCAGCAGCUGCAGUUGAGCCUGAACCUACCUAGAGAUGUCAAAAUGAGAGACGUUAUAGUGAACCAUUAUAUUCAUAAUCUUCAAAGCCAACUGAAGGACAGAGUACAACAGACUAAGGUGAUAAGUUGGAAUAUGGUGGUCGAGAAUGAAAAUAUAUAUCGCCAAAGGAAACAAUAUAUGGAAAAGUACUGUCAGAGACAAGAAGAAAUAAAGCGGAUGC